rnacentral:rRNA from 1 species
GACGGACGCUGGCGGCGUGCUUAACACAUGCAAGUCGAACGGAAAGGCCCCAGCUUGCUGGGGUACUCGAGUGGCGAACGGGUGAGUAACACGUGGGUGAUCUGCCCUGCACUCUGGGAUAAGCCUGGGAAACUGGGUCUAAUACCGGAUAGGACCGUGCUUUAGUGUGUGCGGUGGAAAGUUUUUCGGUGCAGGAUGAGCCCGCGGCCUAUCAGCUUGUUGGUGGGGUAAUGGCCUACCAAGGCGGCGACGGGUAGCCGGCCUGAGAGGGUGUACGGCCACAGUGGGACUGAGACACGGCCCAGACGCCUACGGGAGGCGGCAGUGGGGAAUAUUGCACAAUGGGCGCAAGCCUGAUGCAGCGACGCCGCGUGGGGGAUGACGGCCUUCGGGUUGUAAACCCCUUUCGGCAGGGACGAAGCUUUUGUGACGGUACCUGCAUAAGAAGCACCGGCUAACUACGU